CAUAUGAGCAAUAUCUUAUAAAAAUAUGAGCAAUAUCUUAUAAACAUUUUUCAUAUAUAAUUAACGAUAAAUUUAUGUAUACUAUAUCAAGCUAUGUUAAUUUAUAUCACAAAAUAAAGUUCAACAAGACAUAUAACAAUAAACAACCUUAAAUUAUAUAUUAUAUUAUUUUAGACGUUUAAUCAUGGACAAUUUUUAUAAAUAGACCAUUUUCAAAAAAAAUUAUUAUAUUUUCAAAAAUGUAGUAGUCUGUAAAUAAAUAUAUAAAUUUUCAAAAUAUAAUAAUUCUCAAAAUAUAAAAAAUUCUAACAUAAAUAAGUGAAAUUUAAUGAUAUAUUUAGUUGAAAACAAUCUAAGAAAUAAGUGAAAUUUAAUGACAUAUUUAGUUGAAACCAAACUAAAUGUUUGUAAAUAAUUUAUUAAAAUUUCAUGAGAAUUUAUGGUUAUAAUGUUUUUUUUAUUCAUUUACCAGCUUUAGGUGGGUUUUACUCUAAUAUCAUUUUCAAUCAAUAAUAGUUUUAAAUACUUCAAAAUUAAUAUAAAUUCAUAUAAAAUAGUUUUUAUUAUAACUUCCCGCCCGUAGGACGGACCUACCCUAGUACUGUAUAUAAAUAUGAAAUUUAAGGAAGAAAGUUUUCAUGACAUUGUAUCUGAAGAAUAUACUCUCGAAUAAAUACGUUAAACCAAGUCAUUAAGAGUUGCGAGUUCGAUACGGAAAGGGAAACAGUACUUGACUAACGGCGUUAACCAACCAUGGCGGUUUCUUCGUCGUCUCCGGCCAUCAUCUUCGCCGUUACUGUACUGAUGCUUCUCACUGCUUCCUCCGUCAAAUUAAUAGGUGAUUAUUGAUUAGGCUGACGACAAGACCGUUUUCUUUGAACGCCUAAACCGUUAUAGCCUAGACCGAUUUUUACAACACUGUGAAACUGUUUUUGAUUGAUGUAUCUUAAGGUUGAUUCAAGCUAUUGCGUUUUUUGAUGCAGGUGGACAAGGCACAUAGUUGGACUUGCAUGGAUAUUUAUGUCUUUGUGACACCGUACCGUGUGACAUGGGACUGGUACUUCAUUUCAAGAGAGCACACCAUGGAGUUCAAUGAGUGGGAAGGAAAAGUUGAGUAUGACUAUGUUAAGCAGAAAGGAGUUUCGAUAUUCCUCAUGGAAGCAGGGAUGGUGGGAACUCCGAGCAUUGUGGGAUGUCUUCCCUCUCUUUACCAAUACCGGUUGGGGGGAGAGUUCUAACAUCGCUUUUCUUGAGAAGCAUAUGGGUGCUAAUUUUGAUGCUCGUCCUCAUCCUUGGGUUACUAACAUUACCACCGAUGAAAUCCACUCCGGAGACUUACUAGCGAUCUCAAAGAUCCGUGGACGGUGGGGUGGUUUUUAGACCCUUGAGAAGUGGGUAAGCGGAGCUUAUGCUGGCCAUACUGCUGUCUGCUUGACAGAUUCUGAUGGGAAGCUAUGGGUUGGUGAAUCCGGUAAUGAAAAUGAAAAGGGAGAAGAUGUAAUAGCGGUAUUGCCAUGGGAAGAGUGGUGGGAGUUCGAACAAACCAAGGAUGAUGCAAAUCCUCAUAUUGCAUUGCUACCGUUGCAUCCUGAUUAUCGAGCCAGGUUUAAUGUUACUUGAGAAGUCACUUAUUCGGAUGAGGUGUUGAUCAUUGAUGAAAUCUUAAGAAAAUUGUUAUAAUUUGAUUGGUCCAUGAUUUUUAACUUUUAAUUAUUUUAAUUUGAUCUAAAAUAUAAGGUAAGACUAUUACUAAUUAAUUAUACUUGUCAAAUAAUCAAAAAAAAUCUUACAAUUAAUGUUUUAUGUUAACUAUUGUGAAAAUUAUAGAAUGAGUAAUAAUGCUUUAUCAAAUUUUUAAUGUUUAUAAAAUAUAUAUAUAUAUAUAUAUAUAAUAAU